rnacentral:Y_RNA from 2 species
GGCUGGCGUGAAGGGAGCUGUUUUAAUUGAUCAGUCACAGAUCAAACUCCUCGUUUCUAUUUCUUCCCUCUUCUCACUACUACACUUGACUAGUCUUAA